ACCCAGACUCCUACGGGAGGCAGCAGUGGGGAAUAUUGCACAAUGGGGGAAACCCUGAUGCAGCGACGCCGCGUGAGCGAUGAAGUAUUUCGGUAUGUAAAGCUCUAUCAGCAGGGAAGAAAAUGACGGUACCUGACUAAGAAGCCCCGGCUAACUACGUGCCAGCAGCCGCGGUAAUACGUAGGGGGCAAGCGUUAUCCGGAUUUACUGGGUGUAAAGGGGGCGCAGACGGCAGCGCAAGCCAGGAGUGAAAGCCCGGGGCCCAACCCCGGGACUGCUCUUGGAACUGCGCGGCUGGAGUGCAGGAGGGGCAGGCGGAAUUCCUGGUGUAGCGGUGAAAUGCGUAGAUAUCAGGAGGAACACCGGUGGCGAAGGCGGCCUGCUGGACUGCGACUGACGUUGAGGCCCGAAAGCGUGGGGAGCAAACAGGAUUAGAUACCCUAGUACAA
rnacentral:rRNA from 1 species